UCGGAGGACCCAAUAUCACAGCUAACCCCACACUCCCAACAAACUUGCACCGGCUGGUCGUGCCCAAUCCCUUCAUUGAGCUUGACCCGUGAAUCAUACAACGCAACUCUCUCGAUCGCGCCCGAGUCCCUGGAAGGGAUAAUCGGACGCCGACUCAAGGUCUACGCCUUUUGCAAGGGGCAAUUGUUCUCUAACUGCAACGACUGCGAAAAAGAACGAGUUGGGCUCCCACCAUCGUUCCCCGAGCUUCAGGGAUGGUACAAAAACAAACACUGCACCAUCGGGAAAGUCUGUCAGUCGAGUGCCGACUGGUUCGGGACUGGCGAUUGCACGGGCCUCGACGCUCAGACAUGCCACGAAGAGGGUCCGUUCGAGGAGGUCGUCGAGGGCGGGCUGCGACAGCUGAAAGACGACAGGGGCUGCUACACGAGCGCCCUACACGACACAUGCACCCAGGACUUCGCGUGCUCCCUCGAGAGCAACCGCUACCCGGUGCACCUCUUCACGGACGACGACUCCGUCCGGGCCAAAAUAGUGCUCCCGGACGACAAAGCCUACAUCCUCAAUCGCACAGCGCACAAGAUCUACAUACCACUCGACAGUGCGUCGAGUCUCGCCUUCUUCCUGGAGCCCAGGUUCGAGAUCAAACAAUACAACAUUAAGGUCAGCUGUUACAAGAAGUUCGGUACUGACCCACUGUGCCAGCUGCCCCAGGACCCCAACUUCCCCGACCUGGCCAACACGAUCAUCCAGCUGAACGACGGCAGGGACGCCGGAUCGGUGAGGAACGUUCAUCUGAAGGUGCACCAACUCAUAUUCGAGAUCCCUGACAAUAACAAGGUCUACUUGCCGAAUUCCAGCGUCAAGUCUGUCACCCGGCGGAGGCGCGAGAUCAUUCAUCGGAUCCCUGAGCUGAGAUCCCUGGAAAACGCCGUCUUCUACGUGGCUCACGAGUCCGCCUACAACGACUUCAACAUAAUCAAGUCCGUCGACAACGUUCGCAACGUCCUCGUCCAGUUGUUGAAGUCCGUCUCUUAUAGGGAUCCUGAGGUUCUGGGUAGGGUCUUGGGACACAACAGGCAGACCUCUUGGUUCUCCGAGAACCUGUUCGUGUUUCGAGACGAGAACUUCGAAACCGCGGCGGACCCGAAUUCGAACUGUAACGAGCGAGGACAGAUUUUCAAGGACGGCGGAUUCGUCACGAAGAUGAAAGGUGAUCUGUGUUAUGAGGCGGCUGACGUGUCGUCCAAAGUUGACGACAUCAACCUCUUCGAGGACUCUCCCUACGUUUUCUCGGACGUCAGCAUCCAAAAGUUCGUGACGCGUCUGGGUAAAGCUUCUCAACCCUCUGGACAUAAAUCCGAGUGGUACGCUGAAUCUCCGUGGUAUUCUAAAAGAAAGGAAAGUGAAGAAAGAGAUAAAUCUCAAAUCAGCAAAACCAAGAUGUUCUUGCAAGAGAGUGGUUAUGUCAUUGCGUGGAGUCUUUUCGCCUUGCAGUUGUACAAGAUUUUCAAAGAGAUGAACACUUUCCACUUCGUGUGUUUAACGGUUGGGUUCUGCGCAUGGAUAUAUAUCUGUUUCUUGCACCCUCAAAUUAAAAGAAUUGUAAACACUUUUAACUGA
rnacentral:lncRNA from 1 species